rnacentral:lncRNA from 1 species
GCCCAAGGAGAAGAGAGGAGCUUGGGACAGGAGAGACGCUUUGGAGUCACGGGAAAAAAUGGUGGCAAAGGGUAAUGGAGCCACCAGGAGGCUGGAGCUCGGGUUCCUGAGUCACCCUCUGGAGGAGAGCCACCGACUCCC